GGAUAUGUAGGAAAAUUAGUAACCCCAGUGGACUGUAAAUCCGCCGCUACCCGCAUUGUUGGUGCAAGUCCAACCAUAUCCACCA
rnacentral:tRNA from 2 species